rnacentral:rRNA from 1 species
AGCUUCAGUAGCGUAUAUUAAAGUUGUUGCAGUUAAAAAGCUCGUAGUCGCAUUUCUGGCGAGAGGAUCCGGUCCGACCUUUUGGUGGGUUCUUGGGUCUCUUUCGCCAUCCUUGAGUGGUCCGUUCUGGCAUUAGGUUGUCGGAGCGUCAGCCGCUCAUCGUUUACUGUGAGAAAAUUAGAGUGUUCAAAGCAGGCUUAUGCCGUUGAAUAUAUUAGCAUGGAAUAAUAAGAUAGGACCGCGGUACUAUUUUGUUGGUUUGCGCACCAAGGUAAUGAGGAACAGGGACAGUUGGGGGUAUUUGUAUUUCGUUGUCAGAGGUGAAAUUCUUAGAUUUACGAAAGACAAACUACUGCGAAAGCAUUUACCAAGGAUGUUUUCA